AGAGUUUGAUCAUGGCUCAGGACGAACGCUGGCGGCGUGCUUAACACAUGCAAGUGGUGCGACGAACCAGGGCUUGCCCUGGGGCAAAGCCGCGAACGGGUGAGUAACACGUGGGUAAUCUGCCCCGAUGACCGGGACAACCCGAGGAAACUCGGGCUAAUACCGGAUGUGGUGCACAGGCAUAAGCCUGUUCACUAAAGGAAGCUUCGGCCUCCGCAUUGGGAGGAGCCCGCGGCCCAUUAGCUUGUUGGUGGGGUAACGGCCUACCAAGGCAACGAUGGGUAGCUGGUCUGAGAGGACGAUCAGCCACACUGGGACUGAGACACGGCCCAGACUCCUACGGGAGGCAGCAGUGGGGAAUCUUGCGCAAUGCGCGAAAGCGUGACGCAGCAACGCCGCGUGGGGGAAGAAUGCCUUCGGGUUGUAAACCCCUUUCAGGAGGGACGAAGGCUCACCGGUGAAUAGCCGUGUGAGUUGACGGUACCUCCACAAGAAGCUCCGGCUAACUACGUGCCAGCAGCCGCGGUA
rnacentral:rRNA from 1 species